rnacentral:misc_RNA from 1 species
UAAUAAGUGUUUUAUGGCACUUUUUAAAUCCAUAUCCACCUUGUGUGCAAUGUUAAGAGGAACCAGUUGGAGAGAUUUCGAUCUUUCUUUCUCGUUCUUUUUUCAUAACAAACUCAUUUUUUUAACAUAUUGUCUGAAAACUAUUAUGAAUACUUAAUUCAAAAUA